rnacentral:lncRNA from 1 species
GCAAAGAUGGCGGUGAUCGGUGGCGCGCGGCCUCUUAGCGGAGCGGUUGUCCCGCUCCUCCGUAGCAAGAUGUGAAUGCGGCUGAAGGACGGUGCCACGGGAAUGAGUCGGCGAAGGAAGCAUGCGGACAGCCCUGUGCGGACGCGCAGGGCGGGUGCCGAGAACUGCUGCUCGGCAGCGGAACUGUGGCCCCGGGCGUCCAGGGCGGCCCGCAGCUCCCAGCCCAGCCGGGCGGGAACGCGGUCUGCGCUGCGGUCGCAACGGCGGGCAGCGGCUGACGGCGGGCGGAGCCCGGGGGUUCUCCAAAUGAUCCAGAUGGACAGACUGAUAUCUUCUGGGAUCAAAAUUCUCCAAUGACAAAACAGUAAAAGAAGAACAAAGCGGAUUUCCAGUGCAUACAGUGAUGAGAUUUCACAUAUUGUUAAUCGUAUUGCUCCUCAGGAUGAAAAACCAGUGACAAACUCCAUGCUGGGUGUAUGGAUUGGUGACACUGCUAUUCCUUGUACUCCUAGUGUUGCAAAAGAAAAGUCAAGAGUGAAAAUCAGCUGCACAAAGU